UACGUAGGGUGCGAGCGUUGUCCGGAAUUAUUGGGCGUAAAGAGCUCGUAGGCGGUUUGUUGCGUCUAUCGUGAAAACCUGCAGCUUAACUGUGGGCUUGCGGUGGAUACGGGCAGACUUGAGUUCGGUAGGGGAGAUUGGAAUUCCUGGUGUAGCGGUGAAAUGCGCAGAUAUCAGGAGGAACACCGGUGGCGAAGGCGGGUCUCUGGGCCGAUACUGACGCUGAGGAGCGAAAGCGUGGGUAGCAAACAGG
rnacentral:rRNA from 1 species